rnacentral:lncRNA from 1 species
GGCCGUGAGUAUCGGUGCCCAGUGGGCUCAGGUCUUGCACACUGAGAGGCAUCCCACUUCCCAGCCCAUCCCGGCCCGGCUGCUCCAGCCCAUCCAGAAGACACAGAACCCUUUAGAAUAGGAAGAAGUAAACAUGUUGGGGGCUCGAUGAAAUGCAGGAUGAAGCUGGGAAGAUGACAUCACAAAUAACCCCUAGAAGAAAAGAAACUCAGGCUCGUGCAGUGCACUCUCUGGCAAAACGAAGUGUGAUUUACUCCUGCAAAUUACCAACUGUAAAAUAUUUACAGCUAAUUCGCUCUACCUUCCAGGGUGGCAGUGGCAGAGGGAGGCAGGUUGUUUCGGUAGUAAACUGGGGAUGCAAUUUCCACCUCACCGGCCCUAUUUCCUGCGGCAACCUCGGGCGACAGCGUCAUUUAUAGCUUCCACGCGUACAAUCCUUUCUGCAUGUGCGUGAUCUCGAUUACAGGCAGUUGAGGUUUGUGUGGUAGGCAUUAUGCAUUUAUGAGCCAGAGCAAACAUUUACUAGUGCUAGUAAUUCGUCUAGGGGCGAAGGAAGAGAAAGGGCGGGAGCAGCCGGGCGCGGCACUGGUUCCCUGACGGGGGGGUGGGGGGGUGUCACAGAUCUGUGGGGGCUGCAGAAUCCGCACACAGGUGGGGAAGAAAGGUCCCGUCCAUCUGGAGGCACCUGGUCUGUGAAGCUCAUCUCCUGGCAUGUUGGUCUCCCAUCCAUGAGAUCAACGUACAAGUACCCCGAGGCACAGUCCUUGGACCUUUGCUCAUCUCUGUAUACGUUAGCAUAUGCCAUCUGUCUGUGUUGUCACUGUCCAAAUAUUUCUCCACCCAGAUCUCUCCCAGACUCAGAUAGUCGUUGCUUACCUGGCCUUUCCAUCUGGAAGUCCACAAGGCCUCGUGAACGUGACAUGUCUGAGCCAGAGCUCCUGACGUUCUCCCCACCUCACACCCAGAUCUUUCCUCGGUGUCUUCCUCCAACUCAGUAAAUGACCUGGAGCCACCCUGACAUCUCUUUGCCUCUUAUGCCCCACGUGUGAUCCAUCAGUGGGUUCUCCUAGCUUUCUUCCAAAUAUGUCCUGGAUCUGCCCUCUUCACCACCCCACUGCCAUCUCUCUCUUCCCUGGACUGUGGCAGUGGAUUCCCUGUGGGUUUACCAGCUUCUGCAUCAGGAGUGUAGUUCAUUAUGAGGCAUCAGGUAAAGGGGUUCUGGAAAAUUAUAAUUCAGACCAUGACCUUCUGCCCUCUGCUCAAAAGACUCCAUGGAUUUCCAUCACACUCUGAAUAAAGCUUCAUCAUCAGGCCUUCUGAUGCCCCUCUGACCUCAUCUCCUGACACAAUGUCCCCCCCCCCCUCACGGUCUCCAGCCCCACACGGCCUUCAUCUUUGUGUGCACAGUAAGAACACUCCUACCUCAGAACCUUUGCACUGACUGUUUCCUCCACUUAGGAUAGGCUUCCCUUAGAGAGCCAUUCAGUUUGAUUUUUCACUUCCUUUAUAUGUGAAUUCUCAGGUAGAGGAGGAUUUUUUAAACAAGAAACAAAUGAGCUAAGCACAAAAUUUUGACCAGUCCAAGAACGUGAUAAAUUGAGCCACAAACUGGGAGAAGAUAUGUAACAGAGAAAGGAAUAGUACCCAGAAUGUACAGAGAACUCCUACAAAUCAAAAAAAAAAAAAAAAAAA